UGUUUAAUUUCACUAAACGGAGUUAGAUGAUAUAAGGGGUUUGGGUCGAUAGUAUUAUGAGAUGGUAUACCACAAGUGAAAUACAUUAGAUAUGUUUAAUUUCACUAAACAGGAUUAGAUGGUAGGACAGAUUUGGAUCAAUAGUAAUACGAGACGGUAUACGACGGAUGAAAUCCUAGAUAUAUCAUUAAAAAU
rnacentral:sRNA from 1 species